rnacentral:rRNA from 1 species
UACGAAGGGGGCUAGCGUUGCUCGGAAUCACUGGGCGUAAAGCGCACGUAGGCGGGGCUUUAAGUCAGGGGUGAAAUCCCGGAGCUCAACUCCGGAACUGCCUUUGAUACUGGAGAUCUUGAGUCCGGGAGAGGUGAGUGGAACUCCGAGUGUAGAGGUGAAAUUCGUAGAUAUUCGGAAGAACACCAGUGGCGAAGGCGGCUCACUGGCCCGGUACUGACGCUGAGGAGCGAAAGCGUGGGGAGCAAACAGG